rnacentral:rRNA from 1 species
AUUGAACGCUGGCGGCAGGCCUAACACAUGCAAGUCGAGCGAGCGGCAGACGGGUGUGUAAUGUAUGGGGACUGCCCGAUAGAGGGGGAUAACUACUGGCAACUGUGGCUUAUACCGCAUACUAUCGGAUCACCCAUAUGGGUUUAGCUAGUAGGUGGGGUAAAGGCUCACCUAGGCCAAGAUCUCUAGCUGGUCUGAGAGGAUGAUCAGCCACACUGGGACGGAGACACGGCCCAGACUCCUAAGGAGGCAGCAGUGGGGAAUAUUGCACAAUGGGCGCAAGCCUGAUGCAGCCAUGCCGCGUGUAUGAAGAAGGCCUUAGGGUUGUAAAGUACUUUCAGCGGGGAGGCGUUACCCGCAGAAGAAGCACCGGCUAACUCCGUGCCAGCAGCCGCGGUAAUAC